rnacentral:rRNA from 1 species
GACGAACGCUGGCGGCGUGCCUAACACAUGCAAGUCGAACGGAGCCAUCCGGCUGAUCCCUUCGGGGUGACGCUGGUGAAGCUUAGUGGCGGACGGGUGAGUAACGCGUGAGUAACCUACCGGGAAGAGGGGAACAACACACCGAAAGGUGUGCUAAUACCGCAUAUUGCCGGUUUACCGCAUGGUAGACCGGUGAAAGAUUUAUCGCUUCCUGAUGGACUCGCGUCUGAUUAGCUUGUUGGCGGGGUAACGGCCCACCAAGGCGACGAUCAGUAGCCGGACUGAGAGGUUGAACGGCCACAUUGGGACUGAGACACGGCCCAGACUCCUACGGGAGGCAGCAGUGGGGAAUAUUGCGCAAUGGGGGCAACCCUGACGCAGCAACGCCGCGUGAAGGAUGAAGGUCUUCGGAUUGUAAACUUUUGUCUUUG